rnacentral:rRNA from 1 species
UAUGGGGGAUGUCUCGGCGUUAGAAGGCGAUGAUCGACGUGGAAGUCUGCGAUAAGCCUGGGGGAACUGACAAACGAGUGUUGAUCCCGGGAUUUCUGAGCCAACCCAGCGAACUGAAACAUCUAAGUAGCUGGAGGAAGAGAAAGAAAAAUCGAUUCCGUAAGUAGCGGCGAGCGAACGCGGAACAGCCCAAACCGAAGGGGUUUCCUCUUCGGGGUUGUAGGGCCUCUCACAUGAGAGUUACAAAGCAGUGAUUAGCAGAACGACUUGGAAUGGUCGACCAUAGAGGGUGACAGUCCCGUAAGCGAAAAUUUCCUGCCUCUCGAGAGGUACCUGAGUAGGUCGGGUCACGUGAAACCCCGACUGAAUCUACGGGGACCAUCCCGUAAGGCUAAAUACUCUCUAAUGACCGAUAGUAAACUCAGUAGGGUGACUGAAAGAUGAAAAGAACCCCGACAAGGGGAGGGAAAGAACCUGAAACCAUACGCUUACAAGCGGUCGGAGCACUAUGGCCUAGCCAUGUGUGACGGCGUGCCUUUUGCAUAAUGAUCCGGCGAGUUACCGUUUGCAGCUAGGUUAAGACCUUACGGGUCGAAGCCAGAGGGAAACCGAGUCUGAAUAGGGCGUUCGUUGCGGGCGGUAGACGCGAAACUGCGUGAUCUACCCAUGAGCAGAUUGAAGCGCGGGUUAUACUGCGUGGAGGAUCGAACCCACUUGGGUUGAAAACCGAGGGGAUGACUUGUGGGGAGGAGUGAAAGUCUAAUCAAACGCAGAGAUAGCUCGUUCUCUCCGAAAUAUCUUGAGGGAUAGCCUCGAGCAACUACGUAUCGGGGGUAGAGAGACUGAAUCGGAUGGGGGCCCUUCCAGGGUACCUCACUGAACCAAACUCCGAAUACCGAUACGACUAUCUCGGGAGUGAGUCCGCGGGGGAUAAGCUUCGCGGUCGAGAGGGAAACAACCCAGAUCAUCGGCUAAGGUCCCAAAGAUAUACUUAGUCACUAAGGAAGUUGAAUUGCAGAGACAGCCAGGAUGUUGGCUUAGAAGCAGCCACCAUUUAAAAAGUGCGUAACAGCUUACUGGUCGAGCAAUUCUGCGCCAAUAAUGAACGGGAGUAAGUAUAUCACCGAAGCCGUGGACCUGACUUUUGUCAGGUGGUAGGAGAGCGCUGUACACCAGAUACAAGCCAUACCGGAAGGAGUGGUCGCGGGGUGUACAGGUGAUUAUGCCGGAAUGAGUAACGAUAAAGCAGGUGAGAAUCCUGCUCGCCGAAAGCCUAAGGUUUCCUGGGGAAGGUAAAUCCGCCCAGGGUUAGCCGGUUCCUUAGUCGAGGCCGAAAGGCGUAGACGAUGGAUAGCAGGUUAAUAUUCCUGCGCUGGUGCGUGGACUGAUGGAGGGACGGCGUCCGGAAAGUGAGCGGAUCGAAUAGAAAUGUCCGUGGAGGCAGUUGAGGUGGCUAGGAUUAAAAGACUGGCUAUAGCCAAGACUGUCGACCGAGAGCAUUUAAGUUCUCGAAGUCACUGGAAGGACGUCCAAGAAAAGCUUCUAAGGUUUGAAGCGUAUCCAACCGUACUAAAACUGACACAGGUAGGCGGGUCGAGUAGACUAAGGCGCUCGGGAGAACGGUGGUUAAGGAACUCUGCAAAAUGGCCCCGUAAGUUCGCGAUAAGGGGUGCCCCUGGUGGUGCAAGCUGCUGGGGGCCACAGUAAAUCGGCUUCUGCGACUGUUUAUCAAAAACACAGGUCUCUGCGAACACGAAAGUGGAUGUAUAGAGACUGACGCCUGCCCGGUGCUGGUAUGUUAAGGAAGUGGGUUAGCUCUUCGGAGUGAAGCUCCCGACCGAAGCNCCNGUAAACGGCGGCCGUAACUAUGACGGUCCUAAGGUAGCGAAGUUCCUUGUCGGGUAAGUUCCGACCUGCAUGAAAGGCGUAACGACAGAAGCACUGUCUCAACCACCGACCCGGUGAAAUUGUAGUCGUGGUGAAGAUGCCACGUACCCGCGGUUAGACGGAAAGACCCCGUGAACCUUUACUGUAGGCUGAUAUUGGGUUGAAGCCUGUCCUGUGUAGCAUAGCUGGGAGACUGUGAAACGGGAGCGCAAGCUCUCGUGGAGUCAUCAUUGAAAUACCAGCCUGGUCAUGUUUUAAUUCUAACCUUGAAUCUGUGAAUCCAGACAAGGGACAGUGUCAGUUGGGCAGUUUGACUGGGGCGGUCUCCUCCCAAAGAGUAACGGAGGAGUGCAACGGUACACUCAGCCUGGUUGGCAAUCAGGCAAAGAGCGCAAAGGUAGAAGUGUGCUUAACUGCGAGACCCAUAAGUCGAGCAGAUACGAAAGUAGGUCUUAGUGAUCCUGUGAUCCCGAAUGGAAGGGUCAUAGCUCAUCAGAUAAAAGGUACUCCGGGGAUAACAGGCUUAUCGCCACCGAGCGUCCAUAGCGGCGUGGCGGUUUGGCACCUCGAUGUCGGCUCAUCACAUCCUGGGGGUGAAGAAGCUCCCAAGGGUUUGGCUGUUCGCCAAUGAAAGUGGUACGUGAGCUGGGUUCAGACCGUCGUGAGACAGGUCGGUCCCUAUCUGCCGUGGGCGUUCGAAACUUGAGGGGGUUCUUCUUUAGUACGAGAGGAUUUGGAAGGACGUAGCUCUGGUGUACCAGUUGUCACGCUAGUGGCACGGCUGGAUAGCUAACUACGGAAAGGAUAAACGCUGAAAGCAUAUAAGCGUGAAGCCCUCCCCGAGAUUAGGUUUCGUUUGCGUAAGCGAAAGUUCCCUGGAAGACUACCAGGUUGAUAGGCUGGAUGUGUAAGCACAGUAAUGUGUUCAGCUAACCAGUACUAACGAACGAACGCUUGGCCA